rnacentral:rRNA from 1 species
CUACGGGUCGCUCCAGUGGGGAAUAUUGCACAAUGGGCGCAAGCCUGAUGCAGCCAUGCCGCGUGUAUGAAGAAGGCCUUCGGGUUGUAAAGUACUUUCAGCGGGGAGGAAGGGAGUAAAGAUAAUACCUUUGCUCAUUGACGUUACCCGCAGAAGAAGCACCGGCUAACUCCGUGCCAGCAGCCGCGGUAAUACGGAGGGUGCAAGCGUUAAUCGGAAUUACUGGGCGUAAAGCGCACGCAGGCGGUUUGUUAAGUCAGAUGUGAAAUCCCCGGGCUCAACCUGGGAACUGCAUCUGAUACUGGCAAGCUUGAGUCUCGUAGAGGGGGUAGAAUUCCAGGUGUAGCGGUGAAAUGCGUAGAGAUCUGGAGGAAUACCGGUGGCGAAGGCGGCCCCCUGGACGAAGACUGACGCUCAGGUGCGAAAGCGUGGGGAGCAAACAGGAUUAGAUACCCCGGUAGUC